UGCGCAGGUGGUUGUGCAAGCCAGAUGUGAAAUCCCCGGGCUUAACCUGGGAACUGCAUUUGGGACUGCACGGCUAGAGUGUGGCAGAGGGGGGUGGAAUUCCGCGUGUAGCAGUGAAAUGCGUAGAGAUGCGGAGGAACACCAAUGGCGAAGGCAACCCCCUGGGUUAACACUGACACUCAUGCACGAAAGCGUGGGGAGCAAACAGGAUUAGAUACCCUGGUAGUCCACGCCCUAAACGAUGUCUACUAGUUGUUGGAGCAGCAAUGCUUUAGUAACGCAGCUAACGCGUGAAGUAGACCGCCUGGGGAGUACGAUCGCAAGAUUAAA
rnacentral:rRNA from 1 species